UACAGGAGGGGCAAGCGUUAUUCGGAAUUAUUGGGCGUAAAGGGCGCGUAGGCGGCUUUUCAAGUGACGGGUGAAAUCCCUCGGCUUAACCGGAGGAACUGCCUGUCAGACUGGAAGGCUUGAGACCGGGAGAGGUGAGUGGAAUUCCCAGUGUAGCGGUGAAAUGCGUAGAUAUUGGGAGGAACACCAGUGGCGAAGGCGGCUCACUGGACCGGAACUGACGCUGAGGGCGCGAAAAGCGUGGGGAGCAAACAGGG
rnacentral:rRNA from 1 species